rnacentral:lncRNA from 1 species
AUGGUUUUUGGAUUUCCAGGUGCCAGUGCUUGUGAGCAGCUGGGCUUGCUUUCAAGCCUCUUAUUUUGCUCACCUGCUGAGCUGGGCUUGCCCCAGAAUGAGGGCCACCUGCAGAGCCUUAGGGUUGCUGUGUUGGUUGAGAAAAGGGAUGAUGCGGGUGGGGUGGAGGGUUUUGCGUUGGUGUUUUUGGGUGGCAGAAGGCAGCCUUCCUUGGUUGGGUCUUUGCCCCUGAAAGAUUGGUGUGCUGGAUCCUUGGUAGUAGCUAGGCGAACACCACCGAGGAAUAUUUAUUUUCUAGAGGGGAAACAGUCCGAGCAGAAAACCCAGACUACUCUGACUAUUCCUUCCUGGUAAGAGGUAAGAUUUCUUAAGUGUAAAGGUAAAUACUAACCCUAAGUCUCGCUCUCACCUCUCACUUUCUAAUGUGGAGGUGCUCAAAAUCUAUUGGAGAUCCCCACAUAACUGGAGUUUUCCUUUAAGGAAAAACCUUUUCCUUUCCACUGAUGCUUUUCCUUUGCAUCAGUGCAAAGACCUUUUCCGUUAUAGUACGGAAUUGCUCAGAAUAAUCUGUAGAGAAGAAAAAAUUUUGCUGAAAUAAGUUGGGAUGUUGCUUAUUUUCAGGGAAUUAGUGUGAAAUGAGGACUGUCUCUUAAAUUUCUGCUGGAUCAUGUCUUCCUUCAAUUUUGUUUAACAAAAAUUAAUAUGGUAUUUUAAAUUUCACCUUGCUGUUGCAUGUAAGCCACUGCUCUGCCAGCGAGUCAAAUAAGGAAAAGUCUUAAAAGUAAUUCACUUUCAGAAAUAUGCACUUGUUACUUUUUAGAUAUUGAUAUUUUCAACUCCCAGUUUCAUGCUUAUCUGAAGAAAUG